rnacentral:lncRNA from 1 species
CACCUGGUCCUCAGAAGCACAAGUGAAACAAUCUGGAGGCUGUGACUGGCAUUGGCCGGGGCGGGGUGCCUUGGGGACUGAAUCUCCUUGCACAGAGGGUCAGGGCUGAGAGUGCUGACUGCCGGCUUGCUGGUGGGGAGAGAUCCUGACAGCUUCUGAGGUCCUGGGAGUGCCUGUGUUGGUUCCUGGGGUUGCUUACUGUGUGCCAGGCACCAAGCAUAGUCUGGAGAGAUGAUGGUCCAAAGACAGAGCUGCAUAAUACCAAGAAAAAACACUUGUAGCCAGGGAUUUAGCUCAGUGGUUCCGGCUCCUGCUUCGAAAUCACAAGGUCCCGAGUUCAAUUCCUGGUACCAAAAAAAAAAAGAAAGAAAAAAACCCCACAUAAAUGUGGGAUGCUCGAUGACAGGAGCCCAUGCAACGUGAUAGGGAACAACACAGAGGAGGGAAUGUCAGUGUGGAUGGAAGGAGGAGAGGCAGGCCUUGGUAGAACUGGACCCAAAUUACAAGUGCAAUUAUAAAUUUAUUAUACAGAGCUUGAUUUAGGACAGAACCACUAAGUCCUGAUAAAGUCCUGGUUACAGGCCAGGCAUGGUGGUGCACAGCUGUAAUCUCAGGAGGGUGAGGCAGGAGGAUUGCUGCAAGCUUGAGGCAAUCUUUGGCUACAUAGUGAGUUCAGGGCCAGCCUGUCCCAAAACCCCCCCACAAAAUAAUAAUAGUAAAUUAAUUAAACAGAAGAAAAAUUACAAUUGAAUGUAAUUAUUAUAGAAGGGGAAUUAGAAGGGUUUUGAAACAAGUGGUAAUAACUGAUUCAGGCAAGAUUCAUAAUAGAUGUUAAAGUCACUGGGUGAAAGUGUGAGAAAACAGGAUAUUUACAGAGCUUCAAAAUGUCUUUCCAGGGCUGAGAUAUGGGGUGGGGAAAGGGGACCAAAAAUAGUCAUGAUAUUUAUAUGUAUGAAUUCCCCAAAACAUAAUCAUUAUGUGCCACAAACAUAUGACAAUAAAACAUUUAAAUGUCUCUCCACAGAAUACUAAUUACAAAGAUAGAAAAGGAGGCUGGGAAUGUAGCUCAGUGGUAGUGAGCUUGCCUAGCAUGUGCAAGGUGCUGGGUUCCAUCCUUGGAACGGCAAAAACUAAAACUAAAAUAAAAUAACUUCAGAGAAGCCUGCCAGACAUGACCUCAGCCAAGCAACCCACGUCAGCAUCACCAAGAGUGGCUGAACUGACAUCGCAUGCCUCCUGACGUGCACAAGGACGCAACAUCAUUUUCCUGGUUUUCCGGCCAAAACUGCAUU